ensembl:snoRNA small nucleolar SNORD12/SNORD106
UUUGGUAGCAAUGAUGACUUAUCUUUUUUCCCCAGCAGAUCGGCAAUGUUGACAUUUUUUAAAGCAAAAAAUAAGCCAAAUGAUCUGAGCAACCAUA